UAUUCCCCAGGUCAUCGAAUCACUGCUACCCAAUAGGAAGCCCUUUCUGGCUCCCUUUGUACACCAGCAUCUGACAAAUGCAGGCACUGUGACACAGCCCUUCAGAGGAAGUUGUAAUCCUUGCACGUCUUUGAAAGGGUCAAGAGAAGGAGUUGCUAAGGAGUCUCUGCAGUUGGUUUCUGCCUUUGAAGAACCCAGAAGGGAAGUGUAGUUUCACUGACUCAGCAGGGCUGGCAGGAUAACUUGGUGGAUAAAGGCCUUUGCCACCUGAAAUUCAAGCUUAAUGACCAGAAUUUGAUCCCCAGAUCUCAAGGGACGGUAGAGGGAGAGAAAUGACUCCAUGAGGAUGUCCUCAAACCUACACAUGAGUGCCACGGCACAUGCGCACACAGUAAAAAUAUAUUAAAAUACAUUUUAUAUGG